rnacentral:lncRNA from 1 species
UAAUAGAUUCGUUAGGGAUAACACAAAUUGUAAUACCUGUUUCAGUUUUUUUAUUUUUCUUUUUUUUUUUUUUAUCUUAUAUUUUUACUUCUAUAGAAAAGCGUACAAAACGGAAAGGAAGAACAGAUGUAUUUACUUGAAAAUUUUUUUAAAAGAAAAAACAAAGCGAUUUUGGAUAUCAUUAUUUUAAAGAAAGAGCUGCAUAUGCUUAAAAAGAAAAAUAAAGAAUAUAAAAAAACUAUUAAUGAAAUGGAAGAUAAAUUAAAUAUUAAUGAAAAAGUAAAAUUAAAAAAAGAUGAUUUUAUUAUCACCCCUUCUUAAGAUUAUUUAUUUUAGCAACUUAAAAAAAAAAAAAAAAAAAAAAAAAAUGAAUAUAUGUAUAAAACCAUAUAUAUAUAAAAAAUAUUUACUAUAACUAUCAUAUGCUUGUUCAACAAAGGAAAACAAAAAAAGAAAAAAUACAUUACAUUUAUAUUUUUAUAAAAUAUUACUUUAAAAGCUUAUGGUAUUUUAUAAACUGCGAAACAUAAAAAAUAUAAAUACAUACGCAUAUAUAUUUACAUUCGUCUUAUUUUGUUUUCUCAUUUUUUGUAACAUUUUUCCAUUUUUUCAUAUUUUUUGAGUUUUUCUUUUUUUUUUUUUUUUUUUUUUUUGUUGUUGUUUUUCUUAAAUGUUCGUAAAUAUACUUCAUUAUAUAUGAUAAAAAAAAAAAAAAAAAAAACUAGCAUAAAAGAUAACAUGAAAUGUAAAUAACAAUUACAAUGAAUUUUCAAAAAUGGGUAAGGUAUAAUAGUGCUCGUUUCAUUUGUUACAAAAACGAAGUACCCUACUUUUUUAGCAACGAAUCAAAAAUACCAGUUAAGAAAAUUAUUCCUUGUAAAGAAGUUAAUAAAAGAGAAAACCAACACAAAUAUACAUUAAUUAAUAAUAUAUAUUAUGUAAAAGAAUUAGAUUUGUAUGAUAAACUUAUCAACAUAUAUGUUGAUGUUAUUUUUAAUUUUGAAAAAUAUCCUCUGCAUGUUCAGCAUUUACAUAUAUUUUGCAAGAACUUACUUAAAGAAAAGGUAGAGAGUGUUAAAAAAAGUUCCGAACAUAAAAAAAGACUGUUUGAAAUAGGAGAUGUUACAACAGAAACUCUGAAUGAGUAUCUUAGCAUCAGAGAAUAAUUUUUAAUUAUACUGAACUGACAUUAAUGAACGAAUUACAACACUGUUUUGCGAAUUCUUCUUUAAGUCAAGGUAAAGAUAUUUAUAAGUAUAUUAAAAAAUAUGGUAAAGAUAAUAUAUAUAUUUAUAUUUUAGAAUAUUGUAAUAAUUUAAAUAUUUUAAAAAAACGAUUUGAUGUUGUUAAACAUUUAUUUUUUUUUAACAACUUGCGAUUAUAAUAUUAAUAUGAGUGGAGUAAGCUUUUACCUCAUCCAAAAAAACAAAAAAAAAAAAAUUAAUUACUUGUUUAGGUAGCUACGAACAGAAGCAUAACAAUUAAUGUAUAUAAACAUAUAUAUAUAUAUAUAUAUAUAUAUAUAUAUAUAUAUAUAUUUUUAUGUUAUUGUAGGUUAUUUUAUUUUUUUUGUUACAUAUAUUCUGUGUCUGUGAGUAUAUACACACAUUUGUACAUUAUUAUCAAAAGACUUACUUUAAUUGUUCAAAUAUAUACAAUUUUGUCUAUACUUAUUUAUUUUCAACAUAACAAAACUUUUAAUUAGUAACCUCUUUUCCCUCCAAAUAAAAAAAUCAUAAAUGAAUAAAAUUAUUAUUUU